CAGUAGCCACGGUAAUACGUAGGGUGCAAGCGUUAAUCGGAAUUACUGGGCGUAAAGCGUGCGCAGGCGGUUUUGUAAGACAGAGGUGAAAUCCCCGGGCUCAACCUGGGAACUGCCUUUGUGACUGCAAGGCUAGAGUACGGCAGAGGGGGAUGGAAUUCCGCGUGUAGCAGUGAAAUGCGUAGAUAUGCGGAGGAACACCGAUGGCGAAGGCAAUCCCCUGGGCCUGUACUGACGCUCAUGCACGAAAGCGUGGGGAGCAAACAGGAUUAGAUACCCGUGUAGUCCCUGUCUCUUAUAA
rnacentral:rRNA from 1 species